AAAGGAGCGAAGAUUUUUUGCUCCUGUUUACUCCGGAGUGACUUCAGUGUACUGGAACAAACCUAUUAAUGUCAAUGGCAGGGUGGCCAGACCUACCGAUUUAUCGGUAGUCCUACCGAUUUUGGUCUUCCCUACCGAUACCGAUUCACAGACGACCAAGGCAAAACUACCGAUAUUUUGUUAUUCCUACCGAAAACUACCGACUUUUAAUGAUUUUGGGCACAUCCUACUCAACAUACAUUUUUUGGGUUGGAUUUGGUCUGAGAUCUGUGUUGUCAGUAUUUUACAAUUCUAUGUCAAUACUACGUUUUUGGGACAACAACCCGGCCUACCGAUGACUACCGAUAAACUUUUAGUGACCCUACCGAUAUUAAAGAAUUCAAUCUGGCCACCCUUGUCAAUGGUUUCGGAAGUUCUGCAAUGACACGCAGGAGCGAAUCAUUCAGCUUUAUUCCAAUUAAAGUGCCUUGGUCAUGCCGUGUUGCUUGAAAUAGCCAAACUGGAAAAUUUAACUAUUUGUGAUUGAUUUUCUUUCAUAUCGAGACAAUGCAGUGUGGCCUACGAGAUGCAUAUUGGUAUUGACUUUGGUGAUACAUAACUUAUCCGUGGUUCUGAAAUCUGGGUCCACGUCGUAUGCAACGAAGUAUGUAUGCCGUUUGAAUAAAAAGCAAUGUACACUUGCAACAUCAGAAUCUCAUUACGGUAGAUGUUUUUUUUUGCGAUAUGAGCAAAUAACUUGCGAUGCUUAUUGAUGUAUCAACCUGGGACGGGACAUGCGAGGUAAAAAAAGUAAAUAGCGAAAACCGGCAACGGCCUACCAUUGCGAACCGUACCUUUCUUGAUGAAAUGAAUUUCAUUUUCUUUAAAUGGAUAGUAUCUACUUAGGUAUCGUUUACAUCCAGGUGUUUACAGAAAAUAUUUUUUACAGAUUCAGAUUUAUGUAGGUAUAUACAGAGAAACAUUGUAUUAUUCUGUUCAACAAUUGUGCUUUACAGAACUCCUACAAACAAUAAAAUAAUUCAUGUCAUGCCUAAGCUAUGUGGCUCUCGGCAGAAACCUGUACAGAAUCGGCACAGCACUAUCGUGGAUAUUCGGUUGAAAUUACUUUGCAAGUAAUUUCUUUUUCUGUAAAAUAAAUACCGGGAGUAGACCGCUUUUGCAUGUCCCGUCCCACUUAUUAACCAAAUUCAAUAAAUUUCUACAAAAAAUAUAUCGCUUUAAUGUUCUAUUUCUACCCAUCAAAACAAAUUUGCUGAUGAACUUUAUGAGAAAAAUUUUGAAAACGACCAGCCGGUAGGAUUACCGAUUUUGAACAUACCUACAUAUUCGCAGGGGAAGGCUCACCUGAUUACAAUCACUAACUUCCGCUGAAAAUCUUUAUCAUUAUCAUUAAAUUAAAUGCAAAUGAAUAAAUUCAGGUACAAUCUAUAUACGAAUAUAUAUUUAGGCCUUAAUUGCAUUGACAAUCACCUAAGGUGUCAUCUAUGAAGAGAAAUCAAGAAAGUUGCCCGACAAAAAUGUUGCUCCGUGUAAAUAAGUAGUGGCAACUGUGUCCUAGCUAAAUGUUGCUCGUUGCCUCGUGAGCAGACUACUUAACUCUGCGAAUAAUAUUAGAAACCACUAUAUUUUACACCCUUUUCGCAAAAUUCUUAUAAAAUGAUAGUUUUCCUUCGUUUUCGUAAGCAAUUAUCAACAAAUUUAAAGGUGAUAUGUUGUUUAAAAGUUAGUUUUUUACCACAGUUUAUAGAAAAUAUAUCCACUAUGACAACAAAAUGAAAUCAGAAACACUUUACUUCUAGCACUAUCUGUGAACGUUUUCAACGUAUAAUCGCCAAUCCUUAGAUAACAAAUAUUU